rnacentral:rRNA from 1 species
UACGGGGGGGGCAAGCGUUGUUCGGAAUCACUGGGCGUAAAGGGCGCGUAGGCGGCUUUAUAAGUCGGGGGUGAAAGCCUGUGGCUCAACCACAGAAUUGCCUUCGAUACUGUAGAGCUUGAGACCGGAAGAGGUAAGUGGAACUGCGAGUGUAGAGGUGAAAUUCGUAGAUAUUCGCAAGAACACCAGUGGCGAAGGCGGCUUACUGGUCCGGUUCUGACGCUGAGGCGCGAAAGCGUGGGGAGCAAACAGG